CGAGUGCAGCCCCGAUACACAUACAUAGAAGUAUAUUAAUUUGGCUAAUUUCUGUAAUAUCGUUUAAUGUUUUUUGGAAACGCUCGUUCUUGGGACAUUCUGAGGAAAGUUUCAUGGCCUCUCCACGUUUCAAGGCACCAUUAAUCCGGUUGUCUAUAUGUCAAGCCAUGUCCACCGGAGUUGCUCCGCUGUCAAGCCACAUUGCCUAGCCAUCUUUAAUCCGUUGUCACAAAGUCUGCAAACCCUAAAACAGAAAUCCCCACAUCUUGAUGAUCUUGCUGCGAAUCCGACUCUACAGAAAAAGAUAAUGAUCUUCCUGACACCUGUUUUGUGAAGCCGUCAAAGCCGACCAAGAUUCAUCCAUGAUUCCAGACACCUCAUAUAGACGCAAUAGAGACGAAACACGAUUGUUGCCAUCUAAUUUGAAUAUUCAUGUCAAAACUUUGACCUUAUUUAAAUAUUCAUGUCAAAACUUCGACGUAG